UACAGAGGGUGCAAGCGUUAAUCGGAAUUACUGGGCGUAAAGCGAGCGUAGUCGGUUAUUUAAGUCGGAUGUGAAAUCCCCGGGCUCAACCUGGGAAUUGCAUUCGAUACUGGAUAGCUAGAGUUCGGCAGAGGGAAGCGGAAUUUCGGGUGUAGCGGUGAAAUGCGUAGAUAUCUGGAGGAACACCGGUGGCGAAGGCGGCAUCCUGGACCAUUACUGACGCUGAGGAGCGAAAGCCAGGGGAGCAAACGGG
rnacentral:rRNA from 1 species